rnacentral:rRNA from 1 species
GACGAACGCUGGCGGCGUGCAUAACACAUGCAAGUCAAGGGGGCCGAGCAAUGGCAACCGGCGAACGGGUGCGUAACACGUGAGCAAUCUGCCUCUGUAUGGGGCAUAGCCGGCCUAACGGCCGGGUAAUUCCGCAUACGAUCUUUUAGGGACAUCCCUGAUUGAUGAAACGCUUCGGCGGUACAGAGAGGAGCUCGCGGCCUAUCAGCUAGUUGGUGAGGGAAUGGCCACCAAGGCAACGACGGUAGCUGGUCUGAGAGGAUGGCCAGCCACAUUGGGACUGAGAUACGGCCCAGACUCCUACGGGAGGCAGCAGUGGGGAAUCUUGCGCAAUGGCCUAACGGCUGACGCAGCGACGCCGCGUGAGGGAUGAAGCUUUCGGAGUGUAAACCUCUGUUGCCCGGGACGAAUAGCGGAUUAUUCCGACUUGACGGGUACCGGGUGAGGAAGCACCGGCUAACUCCGUGCCAG